CUAAUUUUCGGCGGGAACAAAUAAUAAUCGACAAAAGUUUCCUAAAUUAUAGGGUGAUACAAAAGGGUAUGUGGGCCAUACACAGCAUGUGCAUGCAUGUGCUUCUUCUAUCUCCAAUUGCCCCCACCAUUUUCCCUCUCCUUUUGAAACAAAUAAAAUGGUCCGUCUUCUCAUUUCUUCCUUACCUCUCUGUCUCUCCCCCCCUUCCCCUUCUCUUUCUCUCGUAGAUUUCAAGAACUCGUGAGGUGACAGUAGAUUUCCUAUAAGUAAUCGUUCAAACUCAACCAAAAGAAGAAGAAGAAAAAAUCUACAAAAAAGAUUUAGGAUGCAACCUACGAGCUCAAUGAAGGAAGAAUUUCUAAAGAAAUGGUAAAUGGGCCUUCAGAUAUACCGUCCUUUGAUAGACAACACGAGCGUCUCCGAGAGAAGGAAAGCGAUAAAGCUCUCUGCAGACGUUGCAAUGGCAUCUUUAAGGAGAGGAACAACUUGUUGGAGCCGAGUGAUACACUAAAAAUGAAUUCUUGCUACUGCCAAGUUAACAGUUGCAAUUGUAGUACUUGAGAUUCAAAUCCAGAGGACCAGUCUACACUCUAGUUCUAUAAGUUUCAGAAUCAAGCUAAGAAGAAGAUAUGAUUUGGUUGAAA